CACGUUAAAGAGUUUACUCUUUAUGGUGGCGACCGGCGGACGGGUGCGUAACGCGUAUGCAACCUGCCUGACACAGGGGGAUAAUCCGAAGAAAUUUGGUCUAAUACCCCAUAAUACCGAUAUAGGCAUCUAUGUUGGUUGAAAGCUUUGGUGGUGUCAGAUGGGCAUGCGUUGUAUUAGCUAGUUGGUGAGGUAACGGCUCACCAAGGCGACGAUACAUAGGGGGACUGAGACACGGCCCAAACUCCUACGGGAGGCAGCAUG
rnacentral:rRNA from 1 species